CUCAAAGGGCGAGAGUGGGUGGCUGGGCCUCUGCCGGCGAGCGUCCGUGACCGUGCUGCAGCCGGGAGGAGGCAAGUUGGGGGCGGGGCUCUGGUGGCCGAAGCCAGUGGUGGAGCCGCGCUGUCGGAGCGCCGCUGCUUUUGGAGUCUGCGGAGGUGUACAGUGACAUCUUGAGAGAAGAUGGGAAAGGGCUGCAAGGUUGUGGUUUGUGGCUUGUUAUCUGUGGGGAAAACAGCAAUUUUGGAGCAGCUCCUUUAUGGGAAUCAUACAAUUGGAAUGGAAGAUUGUGAAACGAUGGAAGAUGUAUAUAUGGCUUCAGUGGAAACGGAUCGGGGAGUAAAGGAACAGUUACAUCUUUAUGAUACCAGAGGCUUACAGGAAGGUGUGGAGCUACCAAAGCAUUAUUUUUCAUUUGCUGAUGGCUUUGUUCUUGUGUACAGUGUGAAUAACCUUGAAUCCUUUCAAAGAGUGGAGCUUCUGAAGAAAGAAAUUGAUAAGUUUAAAGACAAAAAAGAGGUAGCGAUUGUUGUGUUAGGAAACAAAAUCGACCUUUCUGAGCAGAGACAAGUAGAUGCUGAGGUGGCACAGCAAUGGGCAAGAAGUGAGAAAGUGCGACUGUGGGAGGGGAAGGUCAAUAAAAACUGGAAAGUUCAAGGCUAAGACGAACAUCCAGCUGUGUUCACACGACUAUUCCUUCAGGGCAAUACUGUGGUCCUCUGGGCUGUUGCAGUGUAACACUAGUUACCCGGAAAAAACCAGGGUGCCAGGUCACAACCUGGACCUCAACAAAUAGCCUGUCUACCUAGGUCACAGAAUUCACUAUAAUGGAGUCUCAACAGGUGAGGAGCCAGAAUUGGGCAAGGAUCACAGCAGUAGACAAAUCAACACAAGCCAUGGGAGCCUGGAUUGCUUUUUUUUGGUUUCCUAAUUCCAAAGUAAAAAUUAUCAUUUAGUAAAUGAGAAUCAUAGAUUAUAGAGUGUCACGGGAGAUAGGAUCCUAGAUGAGAAAACUGAAGCCUGGAGAUUAAGAAUGUGACGAGACCAAAAAAGGACGAGAAACAUGGAUACUUUGACAGUAACUUCUUUUCUGUUGAGUGGAAAACGGGAUUAAUUCUGAGUUGCUAUGUCACUAUAAACAGCAGGAUUUUAAGCACCAUCAAAACAAAGCACAUACUUCUAGAAAUGGUCUCUGCCAAGUGGCGAAGCUGCCCCCCACCCCUGCAGUGUUUUGUGUCCAUCCUAAUGUACUUAGAGAUUCAUUAAGAUACAACAGAAAUCUCUUUUGUGAUUAAAACUCAAUUUUAAACACUUCAAUAGUUUCUCAUGGGAAUAUGUAAAUCUGAAUAUAAAUCAGGAAAUUCUUACCUUUGGAGGCUUGAAGGGGUAUUCAGGUGUAAAAGUGAUAUCAAGGAAGAAUACACCCCCCUCAUACACGGAUCCUGGAGGUCCUAGAAUGGUUGAUCUCCAUUCAUAGAUGUUAUCGCCUUUGGGACCAGCACUGUGAAAUAAUACAUCAAAAGGUUCUCACUUGAAAAGUUAGGCCUGCUGGUCUGGAAGGUGGGUAGAGAGACCUACAGUAGAGAGAGUGGUUUACAACUCUCAGAGGGCCACUGUGAAGGAGAACUGGGAGCAAGAGAAUGCGUGAGACACGUGUACAGGGAAAGGUCUGUUCCAGCACCCCACCCUUUUCUCUAUAAAAUGACUAACUAGCUUUACCCUCAGGUCAGUAUAUUCUUUUAUCAACCUUGUGUCCCCACCCUUAUAAGAUACUAUUUAGUUCCACAAUAAGAAAUAGGACUUCAGUUUCUAACACUGGUUGAACUGCCCUUGAGAAUGGCACGUGAUUUAAUUAAUCAAUUUAAGUAAUUAGAAAGUAUGGGAGAUGGAGUUGAAAUUAAGAUGAGAUGGAAACAAAAAAUACAAGUCCCUGUCUGAACACGUUGCAACAUAACUGUGAUUAGAAUCUUGGCAUGAGGCUGAGACUGAGAAGGUGAAAGGAGACCAUGCCUUUCAGAUUGUUAGAAAAUUAAUGUUCAUUUGUAACAAAAACACUUUUCAAAAUAAAUGUAUAAUACACAGAACUCUUAUAUGAGGCAAAAAGAAAAAAAAAUUCUGCCCUUGAUUCAGUCUUUUUUCCUUCUAGUCAAAAUAAAUAGAGCUGUUGCAAACAUUUUGAGGAAUAUAAUCGGGGUGCCUGGCUGGCUCAGUCGGUAGAACUCACGACCCUUGAUCUCAGGGUUGUGAGUUCAAGCUCCAUAUUGGGUAUAGAGCUUACUUUAAAAAAAGAAAAAUAGUCAUUUCUACUCUUGACACAGUAUUUUCUUAUUUCUGUAAUGGUUUCUGACGUCAGACACAUUCACGUUAGUGGCAGGGAUUGUCAUGAAUCAUGACACUCUUGUGACAGUACAGGUGCCUGCUGACUGAUGGGCACCAUACCCCUUGAGUAAGUAACUCAAUGACAAGGACUCUCAUCUCCACCGGCCUUUCCCUUGAACCUUGAAACCCAUGUUCCCUCUAGUGACCAUGGGACAAGGCAGCUACAGAUCAUAGUUCUUGUGCCUUAUAAAGACUAAAUUGGUAAUUUAACAGAAUUUGAACAGCAUAAAAUGGAAUCAAUACAAGCCAUUUAACCUUAAAAAAUAAACCCAAUUAGAAAAAAAUGUCAUUAGAGCAGUCUUAUGUAUAAUUUGAUGUGCUCUCUGGACUGACUUAAGACAAUCACAUAAGCUAAUGUUUAAGCUUCAUUUUUUUUUUCUUUGAUGUGUAUUUAUUUUGAGAGAGAGAGUGGGGAAGGGGCAAGGACAGAACCCCAAGCAGACUCCACACCGAAGGCAAAGCCUAAUGGCGGGGCUCAAUCUCAAGACCGUGAAAUUAUGACCUGACCUGAAAUCAAGAGUCAGACGCUUAACUGAGCCACCCAAGCUCCCCUUGUUUUGUUUUAAAAUCAUGUUUUUUAAGUCCUCCCCCAUUCCCAUCCUCAAUACUAACGUACUAUAUAGACUACUGCUCUUCCAUUUCAACAGCAACUGAAGAUGCAUUUCAAUUUUUAAAGAACAUCCUGGAAGCAAGGUGAAAUUAUAAUCAGUGCUUUUAAAGAUUAUAUUUCUAUCUGAUCAGUUUUUCACAUUAUUAUUGGGAGAGAUGACCCUUGUUUACAAACACAGAAGCCAUAAUUCAGGUCUUAUUUUAGGCUUAAUUCUAAAAACCUUGGUUAUCUGCUCUCAUAUCCUAGGGGAAACGUUGAGAGUAAGAGGUUGGGAAGAUGAAAAGAUAAGAAGUACACUACAAACAUUUGAAUAGCAACAGCAUGAAGUAAGUGAAAAUGGGACAAGUUAGCAAACGUGCCAGCAGAUUUCAAAAAAAGUAGGAACUCAUGAUGAAUUCAGUUAGAAGCUCAUUCUACCCACCUAAAAAUCCCAAGUAAUCUCUGAUAGUUUCCCACGGUACAAUGACUAAUGCUUCCUAAAAAUAAAGCACUGGCAAAUACAGUUGAUUGGCUAGUCCACGUCUUGUCUUUGUAGAAGCUUCACAAUAAAGCAAACCGGUUGCUUAUAGAAGGUGUAUUAAUAGCCUAAAAUCCCCGCAAUUCACACAUUAUAAUUGUAGCCUUAGAGCAGUUCUCAAUAGAGGAUGAUUUUGUCCCCCAGGGAGACAUUUGGCAAUGUCUGGAGAUCUUUUUAGAUGUCACAACUCGGAGGGAGUGUGCUACUGGUACCUAGGGGGUCGAGGCCAGGAGUGCUGCUAAGUAAACAUUACCCAAAGUACCAGACAGCCUUCUAUACCAAAGAAUUCCCUCAACCCCAAAAUGUCAUUAAUUCCAAGGAUGAGAAUUCUGCCUUAGAGAAAUUGGCUCAAGGUUGGUUGAGCUAGUAAAGGUAAGAGAGCUUCACAGUUUGAAUCCCUGUUGUCAGACUCUAUCUAGUGCCAAUCCUCUUAUCUUUCUUUGACUGCUCUGUGCCUGGUACAGAAAAAACAUUCAAUAUACAGGGUUAUUGUUAUUAAAAGUUACAUUUGCAUAUGCCCUAACUGUUCUAUACUCUUGUUACUCAAAGUAUGGUCCCUGGACAGAAUAAAAAUAACAUCAGCAUCCUCUGGAAGUUUGUUAGAAAAGUAGACUUAGACUCUCCCCCACACCUAAUACAUCAGAAUUUGCAAAGCUAACUACAGAAGACAUUAAGUGGCAGAUGAAUACCAACUCUACCUUUUAAACUUCUAGAUUUAAAUUACCAUUUACAUUAUCUACCUCUCUCCUUCACUGCCUAUAAUUCUUUGCAGUAAGAUACAAGUAUCAACCCUGGUAAUGCUCAGUUGUGUUAAGACUAUAAAAACAAUAACCAGAGAACUUUUAGGAAAUGCUUAUAGGAAGAGAUCCACAAUCAAAUCUAUAUUCCCUACAACAUACUAUUCAAAAUCCAUUCUUAAUUUAUUCUGCUAAUAAAUUCAAAGAGAGUAUGAGAAAAUAGUAUGAAUACUGCAAUCUACCUGAAGGAAUCCUCCUCUCCCACAAUCAUCACCCAACAGACACACUCUCCAGGGAACGAAAGCUGUCUUCGCCAUGACAUCUACAUAGCACAUAGAGAGGACAUUUUAUAAAAAGUAAAAAGCUUCUUGUCCUCCCAUCCCUUCAGAAAACGGUAGCCAUCUGUCACCUAGAAGUGAGUAGCAGGAGCAACUUGAAAAAUCAGAAAACCUCAGUAAGGUGACUAACAGAUUAGUUACAUGGCUUGGUGAAGUGACAUGGCUACUGAAAAGUGAGUCAGCCACUCUAAUAACAAAGAGAGGCCUCCUCCCAAGGUGGUACUGCUAGGGAGGUACCAUUCAGGUCACCAUUCUGUGGAAAGGACUUACAGUUCAAGGGCCGACCUAAAGGACUCCCCAAAACAGCUGGUGCCUACAUAAGAAUUCACAUCAGUGGUAUCCAGUGUAUCUAAACAGUUACUUUGGAACAGAGUGGGCCCAAAUUAGGGGGUGACAUUUCCCUACAAAUGGGAGGAAAACUGGCUCAGACACUCUAGACCUAAAACAACAUGAUCCGUGUUCACAAACAGUGGCAUUCCCACAAAGUCCCCCCAAAUCGUAUUAUAACAACAUUAAGGAAAUGGUGUGUGCUGUCUUCCUCCAGAAGAAAGGGGAUAUACCUUCAAAGGGAUUUGAUGCAACUUUUCAAGAAACACAAGGCUGAUUUUCGGCCUAUGGAAGACCUAGAGUGCAUUUUUGAAAUGUGUUCCAAACCAGAAAGAACACAGUUGUAGGUAUUUUACACAAACUGCUACAGCCAUGUGGAUAUAUCAUCUCUCUUAGAUCAGAUUUUAAGUCUCUAGAGAACAGUAAUUUUCUACACAUACUAUAUGGGACUAUUUAUUUUUUAAAUUUGUUUUUAAUGUUUAUUUUUGAGACAAUGCGAGAGACAGAGUGCAAUCAGUGGAGAAGGAGGCAGAAGGAGACACACAGAAUCUGAAGCGGGCUCUGGGCUCUGAGCAGUCAGCCCAGAGCCUGACAUGGGGCUCGAACUCACAAACCGUGAGAUCAUGACCCGAGCCAACGUCAGAUGCUUAACCGACUGAGCCACUCAGGCGCCCCAGUAAUUAACAUUAUUUAAUUAGCUGGCCAAAAUAUGUACCACUGUUUAGAAUUACACAACAGUGUUUCCAAUUAGGUAAAAUAACAAAACACAACAAAAGCUCUUACUCAGCUAGCCGUUCAAUUGUAGUUUUACCUUAUAUGUUGUUGCUUUAGAAAAUAAUCCAGCCUUCUGGAAAUCUACAAUCCAAUCUUUAAAAAAAAAAUUAGAUGUGCACAGAGUAAGGACACAAUUUUAAAAUGAAAACUACUUUCAAGAGACAACAAUGGGGAUAGUGAAACAGCAGGCCUAGAAAACUGGACAUCAAUGGGUCCUUACUAGUAAGGAGGGAUGGCUGAGUAAUGAGAGUGUUUGGUAACUAAGCUAAGAAUCCCACUUUAACUUCUGGACUAUUGAUAUACAAGAUAUACAAGUGGGGGGUAAGGUACCAAGCAAGUGAAAUGCAAACUAGUCAAAUGUCAAGGGCCUAAAAGAAACAGGGGCAGGGAAGGGUAGAGAAAGGCCCAUAGAAAUGAUUAGAGAGAAUUAACUAAGAGAUCGGUAUCUCUUUUGUCUCAAAAAUUAUUUUUCCUAUAUUGGGUUAUAUAGAAGCUACACAAGCUUAAGAACAAUUCCUUUUUUUUUUUUUUUUUUAAAGUAGGCUUCACACCCAGCACGGAGCCCAAUAUGAGGCUUGAACUCAUGACCCUGGAAUUAAGACCUGAGCUGAGAUCAAGAGUUGGAUGCUUAACUGACUGAGCCACCCAGGCAUCCCCUAAGAACAAUUCUAAUUUGCUCUUUCCCCAGAGAAGUUAGAAAAACAGGGUCGGAAUAGAGUCAAGUGUAAGGCUACGGCGAUUACUCCUCUACUGCCGCUAAAAUAAUCCAGAGCAGGUUAUCUGCCUUAGAGUCAAGCGGUAGAGUCCUGAUUUUUUAGCACAAUGCUUAUAUUAGUGAAUAUAAAACUGGUAUCUAAAUGAGUAAAUAGAAAUCAAUUAUUAGUGUCUGGUUCUUACACUAAUCAGUUCACAGGGCCUACAAAGCACAACCAACUCUUCUAUUGGAAUGAUCGUUGGUUGUACUGUGGUAAGUGAGUAAUGGGGGAAAACAGAAUCUCUUGUGUAGACUUUUGGAGGGAAUAUGGUACAGGUGGUAACACUUAAACACUGCACACAUUUAGUGCUGAUUCUCAAAAGCAACAGUGUCCCAAGGAAAGCUAUUUAAGGGAUACCAAAAUUCUCAAAAAUGAAUUUAUCAGGUUUUAACUCAAUUCUAAGAUGAUUCUAGAACAUGUCUUUGACCAUGAAAUGACCAUCGAAGGUUUCCUAGUCACUCACACUCACCUGCACAGCCUCCAUACUGCAACUGCUACCAAUCUCAGACUGCAGGUGAGGCAAGCAGAGGGUGGUGUGUGUGGUUAGGCAGAAAGGUGAGAAGUGACAAAUGUAAAUGCACAAGAAACAGAGGUUCAACAUCUUGCCACAGAGCAGAGAAAGCUGCUUGCACUACCCUGCUGCGGUGAUUUUUGGGGUCAUUUAAUAUGUGGUACGAAUUCCCUAUUUUGUUAUUUGAUAAAGCUUUUAUUUAAUACAAAAAAUUAAGGUUUUUUUACUGCCCCAUUUUGCUCCUAAAAACAUUCCAAUUUGGAUGUUACAUGGUUAACCUGUUUAUGAGGGCAUCUCAGAACACCUUCCUGCACUGCCCAAUCAGCUUGGAACCUCCCUGCCAAUCUCUCAAUUCUAGCAAUUUUACAGAUUCUUCGUCCUCAAGCUGCAUCGUCCUUCCAGGGAUUUGAGUAGACACCCCAAGCAAGGGUCUCUCGUCCUAGGUUCAGCUCCCUACAACUUCCCUCAGUACGGAACUCACAUGGAUUUGGAGGAUAAAGACGUUUUGUGCUAGAGCUGGUAUUCACAUCCAGGAAAGGUGAGAUCAGCAGUUCUAAGACCCUUUCAGCAAGCCCAUAGGUCAAAACUAUUUUCAUAAUUCUAAACAGUACUUGCCUUCUUAACUCUUUCUCUCACAUUUGUACUGUGAAGUUUUCUUGAGACUAUAUGAGAUAUGAGAGCAGAUAAUGCAGAAGCAGAUAAGAAAAUCCAGCUGUCUUAAGUCAGACAUUAGAGCAAUCUGCAAAUAUGUGAAAUAGUGCCACUCUUCUAAGUGUUUUAGUUUUGGAAAACAAGCUAUUUUCAUUAAAAAAUAUGUUAACAUGCUUA